GUUUGCUAUUUUGAAUUGAGAUUGUGUCAUUCUGGUCAGCUGGUGCUAAAGAGUCAGACAUCAUUAACAAGAGACCAGCAACACUGAAGUGAAACCUUUACAUCACUGGGAAAACUGAUGCUGGUUACCUGGGGCUAAGACAUUAGCAGUGAUUGAGAAGACUCCAGCAUUGAAGUAAAGUCUUCUGGGAAGUGUUUCUUCAAGGUCCACUUAAAAUUUACAGGAUGCACAACUACAUAUAUUAAGGGCACUGAUACCUGCACAUGAUGACUCUACAAGCACAACAAAUAUUCACUGAUAGAACAUCUCAUAUGCUUCAUGUUAUCAGUUGCUUCCUUUUUUUAAAAUGUCACUCCAUCCACCAGCCAGCACCAGUACCAUGUGGAGUCCAUCAGGAACCUAGAGCUGCUUGCUUAUCAGACAACGCAUCCUGCACUCUGAUCUGGAAGAGUCCUCUCAGGAGUCGGGACUGUAGCACCAGCACCAUGUGUAACAUGACUCAGAACCUAAGCCCUGCUAUCCAAGAGCCAGCAGCAGAGCCGGGCAAACUUUCUACAAACUUCUGGGGAUCAGCGUGAGUACAUGGUAUGUACUCAUUCAUAGAUGGUUAUCA